GCACACACACGGUCACCCGGUGUACACCGGUCCGCACACACACGUUCAUAUUCUCUGGAUGGGACAUGAGGCACCUCCUAUACUUUAUUCUUUUCAGAUCAACGGGAGUAGGGGAAAGAGAGGAAGAGUGGAUAGGACGAGGAGAGGAGCAGGGAAUGGAGACCGGCACUUCGGCUAGGGGAGAACCCAGCAGUGUAAACCAUAGAGUCUCGGUCGUUUUAAAGGAAUUUAAAACAAGGCGGCGCCAAGAAGGAUGAGGGAACCAGUCUAGCCAUUGUAGGUGGCGGCGUCCACGCUAAAGUGAGGCCACUCCAGCGAGCUUUAGGAGCCGCCCCAAGCUAGAUGAGCCCCGACCUCGGUGCCGCGGGAGGUUCGGGAGUCGCGUCCGUUCCGUCCACUAUCGGCGGUACCUUUGAGUCUGUCGGUUGGAGUGGCGGGACUACCUCUUCGAGAACAGGUCUAAGCUGCUCCUCUCCCUGAACCGUCUGUUCGCUCGUCUCCGCGUCUGCCGCAAGUUGUGAGUCCAGAGGGUGCUCAACGUCUCGAACAGCUUCGUCUAGCCGGAAUGAGUUCGUCUCCAGCUACUGCACGCAUUCCGACACAGGCGCAGGCGCAGCAGUUGGGGUAGGUGCCCAAGGGUCCACCUGCUAGGUAGCUGCCGCCACGAUGUGUGUGGACGGCACGCCUUGCCCGGAGGUGGUGGUGGUGGGCUAGGCGCGCAGCGUAGAAGCGGUUCGCGGGACGGGUAUGGCGUCUGAUAGCGCCCCAGUCGCGGCGAGCGUGCCGAGUGUUUGCUUCCCGGCGGUGAAGAUAGGUUCGGUCUACUGGUCUAGCCCAACGGCCUCGCCCCCAAAGUCAGUCGUGGUCGCGGUGCCCUCCUCAUGAGGCAGUCCGGUGGGUUUGUAGUAACUACCACAACGGGGGGCACAAACCGACCUAGCAACGAACCGAAUGAAACUCGAGAUGGUACACGGUGUUGUGUUGACCCACCGUUGUAGUCGUGAGAUGCAGCUUCCGGUACGGCGAGAGACCGAAGCCCGGAAGGCAGUCUGCGUAGGUCACUAGUGAACCCUAAACAAAGCGGCCCGUCACCUUCUCCUUAAGCCGGGACUCUUCAAGCUCAGGAGCUACGUACUAAACAACGUCGAAGCUGUCUGUCCGUGUCAGCGUCUCAUGUCCGUCGUUAAACUCCACGUGUACAUGUUGUACUAGCGUGAGCUGCGGUGUAACUCGAGGUUUAAAAAACAGUGGGUUAAAAACGAGCCGGAGUUUCUACUUAACGCUCGGCGCCACGCGUAGGUUCGUGGCUGGUCGUAAUGGUCUCGGUGGCAUAAACGUGCGUAUGUCCUCCUCCUUAACCUGUAAGUCGCGGGAGCGGAUGCUGGGCGAAGACGUCCUGCCGGUGGCGGUGACGGAUCGCACGGUGGCCGCAACCCUGCAGGAGGGGGUUGUGGUAGUCACGGUGGACGGUGAAAUCAUGGGGCGCAGUAAGGCCGUGGAUUCGUUCGGGGCCUGCUGAAGCCCGCGCUCGCCGUCGACGCUCUGAUGUUUGCGGUCGUACCGGAGACAAAAGCAACACCGCUGUUUAUGAGGUCCCAGGUAGUUACGUUUGCGAGUCGCGUCAACGAGUGUUAUCUCCACCCACUAGUACCCCUUCACGAUAGACUGCUUCGGCACGUGCGCGACGUCAAUGACCUACUCGGUCUGCCCCGACGUCUCGGGCGCACGACGGAAGAAAGACGUGUGCGCCACCUUCCGUGCCUUUGUCGCCUUUGGUAAGCGGACGCUCGUUGACACCCAUUGGUCUGCUACGACGACAACCACCUGAGCCCCUCGUGCGUGUCACAACAGUUAAGUUGUAAACGACAGUCUUAACCUCGUUGCUGUUGUGGGUAAGGAAGGUAACGACAUGCCCAUCGGUUACCGGUCGCUGACUUGACGUAUCGGUACCAUGGCGUCGAGGUCACCACGUCAGUCCUUGUGUGUAAGUCGUGUCUAUACGCACACGACCUGAACCCGCAGAUACUACGUCAAGAGCCGCAGCUGACCGAUCGCGUUGUAUCGGGGUACUUCACACUAACCGUCAACUUUUGUUACGUUAAGCUCGCACUACCAUGUCGUCAUGUGGAUGUCCCUCAAUCUAGCCUACUUAGCGGUUGGGAAUGACGAAACCUACGACGAAGAGAAACCGUUUACGUACUACGUUUGCUCUAAACCCCCCGACGAAAUUAUCUUGAGGUUUACCGCGGUUAUGGUCUAAGGCGUUGUCGAGUUGGUGGUGGUCAACACUAGGUUGCGUAAGAUUGCCUCAAGUCACUACAGAAACGACUUGGAUGUCCUAAUGGAGGGGCGGCAGUUAUGCUGGUACGAUAGUGAGAUCUUGGCCCCCGGUGUGGUUAGUUGACAGCGGGCAUGGCAAUAAGAGGCAACGUCUUUCUGCUCUAUCUCGCAGUCCAAUGCCUUUACGACACCUGUCCCUAGUAAUGAGUAUCAUACUCAGGGAUGCGGCGAGGACAUGAGGACCACUUUUUCUUCCUACCUUGGACCGCGAAGACGCAUCUAAUGUCUGCGGACUUGUACCACUGGUAGUUUUUGUCUAAAGGGGAAGGGUAGUAGCUGCUCGAUGAUCUACUUGAACGACCGCGGCGGAAGAAAAGGUUCUAGCUAGACACUCGACCUAUGGUAGUCUAGGCAUACUUUUUUCCGCUGCUCCUCUUUUGACGUAAGUUUUGCGUAGUGCCGGUAAAACUCAAGGCACAGUACGGUAAACCCCAGUGGUUGCCUGGUGGGUGUAAGGUUACACAGUAUUUGAGCCACAAGAGGCCUGGUUUAGCAUUCAAGCAGUAAUGAAAAGAGCUACUGUAGAACCACAAGUCGGCAAGAGACGUCCUCGUACAACUAGUAGACGCGUGGCAGAAGAGGUAAGACGCUGUUGUAGUUGACAUACGGUUUGUUAGGUUCACGAGGAAGCGUGUCGGGUCGUAACUCAUGGAGCCCGUACAAUAAAGGUCUCUCCCGCACCGUUGACUAUUCUCGUUCUGAUCACGGUACAGACGCACCGGCUGUGGCUGUUUACGGUGACUUGAGGCCCCAAAAGACCCAAACUGUCCGAUAAUGGCGUUCAAACACUUCUUGAUACCCUAAGAACGGUUCGGUAACUGAGUUAACGAGUGAUUCUUUCCUAAGUCAACCUGUCUAGUUCGAGUUCGCCGCAAGCUGGAGGAGUUUGUUCGUUACCACUUGUGGGGUCACGAUAGAGACGGACUAAAGUUGGCGGGCAAGAGGUAGCUCUGCCUACGCACACUAUGCCCACACCCGCGACAGGAUCAUGUUCUUCCGGUGGGACAGCGGAUGAAUUCGUUCCGAGACCCGUGUGCGUUAGUUGCGGCAAGGUAAAUGCUCUUUCUUAAGGAACGCCACUAGUACCGCUAUCUGUCCACCGCGCGGAUGGAUGUUGCCCGUGGUAAGCAGUAGCAGUGCCUAGUAUUCUCGAACACGUCGAACCCCCUCGUUGUCAACCUGUGGCUCAAUGUCGCGCCACAACUGUUACCACGGCGUCUACGUAACAGAGCGCAGCCCGUAGAAGAAAGGGAGCUACGGUAGAGGCACACGGUUGGUGUCACCGACGUUCUUCAGCGCUUGAGUAUGCUCUGCCUGCGACUGCGGGUUCUAGACGACGUUGCCAACCGACAGAAGUCAGGCCUACUCGUGCCGAUGCUCGAGUCCGUUCCGCACUAGGCGGAAGUCCUGGCCGAGACCUAACCACGGUUGUGGCGUGAGGUCUGGUUUGAUUAGUCACGAAAGGUACGGUCGCGUUAACCCCCAGUGAGACCUCAGUGCCGGUGUAUAGUCGCGGAGUUCUUCGAUAAACGGACCGCCCCGGAGUUCGUCCGGCACCUCCUUAAGCACGUGGUCAAACGGCAAACGGUUGUGCGGUUCGUGCUCGUAUAGUUCGGUGGGCCUGACGACGUUGGAGACGGGUAGGGAUGUCUCGGCACCGUACUGGAGUGGUGCCUGAAGUAGCUUCCAAACGGUGACAGACUCCCGACACUCCACUAGUACCAGCAACAACUGGCCAAGUGAUUCAUGCGCGUAAAACACGGGAACGCAGUGGGGAAGUGUCGUCGUUGUCACCGCGCACGUAAGACCCUGUCGUAGUAGUUCGAUGUGCCCCACGGUGUGAGCUAACGGAGCCUAGCGCUAGGAUAGAAGUGGUCGUUUUACACCGCACGAGAGGUGCUGCGGCGGCCGUGGUUCGAGUCAAUGAGCUGUCGUAUAGUGGGAGUCUGCCUACCUGUCUCGCUCGUGCAGUUAGUCACGGAGCUCUACAUAGACGCUACACGCCACGUACUGUUAGGGUUCGUCACCGCUUUCACCGACAGGUGCCGACUCAAGACCAUGUUAUGGUGGAUAGUGAGUAGCGAUUUGUGUUGUGGCAAGGUCCGUGAGAUGCCGUUUCUUGGGUUGGACCCACCAGAUGGAUGAAACCGGUGGUCCAACGGGCGCCUACGUUCGUGGCUCGACCUGACCCGUUGAGUGUCACCGACCGAGGCACUAGUUUACCGCGCCCGAGUUUUGUCCACGUUCGUUUUCUGACUAGCGUUAGCAUGUCUCGCAAGGAAGCUUCACCCACUAAGUCACGACGAGUUCGAAGUCGGUAUAUGUGUCAGUUGUCACCGAUUGGCGGGCAUGGGGUUUAACCGCAUGUUCAAGAAACCAGGUAAAGUCUAAGACCUUGCGUAACCAGGAAACCGAAUGUUCGAGGUCAACGGCCUGCUGUCAGCGUAUGUGGGUCAAAAAGUACAGAGCGUCGAGUUCGGGAAGUGAGGCCUGAUGUCAGGUCAAAAGAGUCUCGAUGGGGCACGUGGCUUGGAGUGUCGCCGUGGCCAUGUUGGAUAACGGUAAGAGCUUGCAGCGUACCACUUCUUUCCGUUGUUGAGUUAACACGUCCAGUUUCAAGUCACCAGAAGCAAUCGAGGACUUAGGGGCUGGACCCUCCUAAUAAGACACGAGGCAGUCGCGAUGGGCCUCCGUUCGACAACCCUACUUCUGCGAGCGCGAGUUCCCCUCCGUUUACAGUGUGGACUAUGUACUCAUAGCCACCUGGACCUUCCACUUUAUCUAUCUUUCCCCACUCGCACACACACGGUCACCCGGUGUACACCGGUCCGCACACACACGUUCAUAUUCUCUGGAUGGGACAUGAGGCACCUCCUAUACUUUAUUCUUUUCAGAUCAACGGGAGUAGGGGAAAGAGAGGAAGAGUGGAUAGGACGAGGAGAGGAGCAGGGAAUGGAGACCGGUACUUCGGCUAGGGGAGAACCCAGCAGUGUUUACUGGAGCGAUUCUACGUCGCGUUCUUUAGAGGUAGUUUAGCCGUUGGUACUUAGCUCGGGGUGCGAAAAGGAAAGAGUCGAUUCUAGGAUAUUGACUUUGGAGACAAGUACUUACAAUUCUAUGGAUGGACUUUUCCAGGUUUACGUUAGUGUACGGAAGAAAGGGACUACUAAACAGUAAUCGUGACUAUUCCACGUGCUACUAAGUAAUGAAGGUGGUCGGUCACCCGAUAUGUAGACAUUCCCAAGUUUGCAGGUACGUUCCAAUCACCCAGACCUCUCACGUCGUGGCUUCUUUACGUACGCAAAAAGUCUACUAGACAGAGAUGUCACCCAUGAGGUCCACAGGAAUUAAAACGACAAACCUAGAAUCACAACUUUAUUAGAGUUUUCGGUUUGACCCAAUCAACCCACGUUACCGUUUUUUCCGUUUGUAUUACAAAGUUCGUGUAAAUAGAACUGAGGGUACGGUCCUCUUAGAAGACAACGAUGCGAGGUUUAUAGCUACGGUUGAAUCGAUUAGUUGGUCUUCGUUGGACUCGAUUCUUGUAGGUUUCUAGAGGUUGGUUUGAACCGUGGAUAUUUAUUAGGAGUACUACCUUAUGAACUAGGGUAGUCAAAGUCGUGGUGGUCGUGUAUGAUUCUCACGUGUUUACCGAAGGUAACACGGGGAAAAGAGAGAUGACAGUAAUAAGAACACAACACAAGAACGGUUCUUUCUGUACUUUCACCGGGGAAACUGUUUAACCAGACUAGUAUCUCUGGCUAGAGAUGUCAGUUUAGUACAAAAGUCACACGAGUCUAUACCCCGAAUGCCCCUACCUGCGGUGCUGCUGUGUUUCCGUAACAGUUUCCGCACCCGACGUCGAACGAGGAGAAACUUAGGAUCGUGACACGAGUAGGGGUUCCCGUUCUUUACGGAUUGCUUCGUACAUUGGAAGAGACCGGGUACGUUUAGGUCAUAGUUCAAUUACCACUCUAUCUACUUAUUGUUAUUGUACGUAUGUAAUAAAAGAAGGUAGUUUAAAACGUUUGUUUCUACUGUUCAAGAUGUUUAAGGUCUAACUUCCAUGAAACCAUCGAGGAGGUUUCUCUAGUAUGACCUAUCUCCUAUGGUAAUCCGUGACCUAAAACAAGUCUAGACACUCUCCAGAAUGACAGUGGCCACCACCCUGGUAACUACCUUUACCUUUCUAAACCACCGUCUUGAGGACGUUUCAUUUGUGUUUUGAGGGAACGUCCGUUCGAGGUUGCCGAAACUGCAAGAUAAGAACAUGUUUAGACUUUCACUUAUUAAAUCUUCACAACUUGUCGGUUGUUUAGGUGUAUAGUUACCUCGCAACGUCGCUACAUUCCUACAGUGCGGAUAGUUAGUCUCGUGGACCGUGAUCGGGGUUGUGGCUGCCUUAGGUAUAGCGGGUAUCAUUCCUACACUUUCAGUACCUGACACGUUAGUUCUGACCCCUGCUGACGUACAGUUAGCUCCUACCCUGACUCUUAGAUGUACAGUUCUUGUAGCACACACCUGGUCCCGUACCCUAUUCGUAACCCUCGAAUCCACUAGCGUUGAGAGUUCGAGUUCAACGUUUGUAGUGGUAACUGCCCCACGCUGACGUGCUGUGCUGUUUACCUCGAGCAUAGUUCUGUACCGUCCCGCCCGCCCCAAUACGUUUCUUAUAGCACAAGUUCUUGUACUAUUACCUAUUACAUGUCUUGGGCUAGUAAUAGCUGGUCUUGAUGACACUGAGCCGAUGUGGUACAUUAUUUGUCUUUCGCCGACACCUCCACUCGUUACACAACAAAUUCUUGUAAUCCCCUUGUUCACGGAGUUCUCUCCGAUAGUUCGAGUCAACGUCAUUUCGACAUGGAACGGUACCCUAUCGGAACGUGUUGCAGUUCGAAUGAGAUUUUGCUCCCCCACCACUACGUUUCUCGUGGACAGUCUUACGUUUUACCUCCUUUAACCCUUGUCAAUACGGUGUCGGUACAUCAGAGUUGCUAACUUUU
rnacentral:rRNA from 1 species